rnacentral:piRNA from 1 species
UGCCCAUGGAGGUGAGGCCUGUGGUCC